rnacentral:rRNA from 1 species
GAUGAACGCUGGCGGCGUGCCUAAUACAUGCAAGUAGAACGCUGAAGGAGGAGCUUGCUCUUCUGGAUGAGUUGCGAACGGGUGAGUAACGCGUAGGUAACCUGCCUGGUAGCGGGGGAUAACUAUUGGAAACGAUAGCUAAUACCGCAUGACAACAGUUAUUGCAUGAUAACUGUUUAAAAGGGGCAACUGCUCCACUACCAGAUGGACCUGCGUUGUAUUAGCUAGUUGGUGAGGUAACGGCUCACCAAGGCGACGAUACAUAGCCGACCUGGGAGGGGGGUCGGCCACAAUGGGACUGAGACACGGCCCAGACUCCUACGGGAGGCAGCAGUAGGGAAUCUUCGGCAAUGGACGGAAGUCUGACCGGGCAACGCCGCGGGAGUGAAGAAGGUUUUCGGAUCGUAAAGCUCUGUUGUAAGAGAAGAACGAGUGUGAGAGUGGAAAGUUCACACUGUGACGGUAUCUUACCAGAAAGGGACGGCUAACUACGUG